rnacentral:rRNA from 2 species
GAUGAACGCUGGCGGUAUGCUUAACACAUGCAAGUCGAACGGUCUUUUAGGAGAUAGUGGCGGACGGGUGAGUAACGCGUGAGAAUCUGGCUCUAGGUCUGGGACAACCACUGGAAACGGUGGCUAAUACCGGGUGUGCCGAAAGGUGAAAGGUUAACUGCCUGGAGAUGAGCUCGCGUCUGAUUAGCUAGUUGGUAGGGUAAAAGCUUACCAAGGCGACGAUCAGUAGCUGGUCUGAGAGGACGAUCAGCCACACUGGGACUGAGACAC